UGGGGAAUUUUGGACAAUGGGCGAAAGCCUGAUCCAGCAAUGCCGCGUGUGUGAAGAAGGCCUUCGGGUUGUAAAGCACUUUUGUCCGGAAAGAAAUCCUUGGCUCUAAUACAGUCGGGGGAUGACGGUACCGGAAGAAUAAGCACCGGCUAACUACGUGCCAGCAGCCGCGGUAAUACGUAGGGUGCAAGCGUUAAUCGGAAUUACUGGGCGUAAAGCGUGCGCAGGCGGUUUGCUAAGACCGAUGUGAAAUCCCCGGGCUCAACCUGGGAACUGCAUUGGUGACUGGCAGGCUAGAGUAUGGCAGAGGGGGGUAGAAUUCCACGUGUAGCAGUGAAAUGCGUAGAGAUGUGGAGGAAUACCGAUGGCGAAGGCAGCCCCCCUGGGCCAAUACUGACGCUCAUGCACGAAAGCGUGGGGAGCAAACAGGAUUAGAUACCCUGGUAGUCCACGCCCUAAACGAUGUCAACUAGUUGUUGGGGAUUCAUUUCCUUAGUAACGUAGCUAACGCGUGAAGUUGACCGCCUGGGGAGUACGGUCGCAAGAUU
rnacentral:rRNA from 1 species